rnacentral:rRNA from 1 species
UUUGGAGGAACACCAGUGGCGAAGGCGACUUUCUGGUCUGUAACUGACGCUGAGGCGCGAAAGCGUGGGGAGCAAACAGGAUUAGAUACCCUGGUAGUCCACGCUGUAAACGAUGAGUGCUAAGUGUUAGAGGGUUUCCGCCCUUUAGUGCUGAAGUUAACGCAUUAAGCACUCCGCCUGGGGAGUACGGUCGCAAGACUGAAACUCAAAGGAAUUGACGGGGGCCCGCACAAGUGGUGGAGCAUGUGGUUUAAUUCGAAGCAACGCGAAGAACCUUACCAGGUCUUGACAUCCUCUGACAACCCUAGAGAUAGGGCUUUCCCUUCGGGGACAGAGUGACAGGUGGUGCAUGGUUGUCGUCAGCUCGUGUCGUGAGAUGUUGGGUUAAGUCCCGCAACGAGCGCAACCCUUGAUCUUAGUUGCCAGCAUUUAGUUGGGCACUCUAAGGUGACUGCCGGUGACAAACCGGAGGAAGGUGGGGGAUGACGUCAAAUCAUCAUGCCCCUUAUGACCUGGGCUACACACGUGCUACAAUGGAUAGUACAAAGGGUUGCAAGACCGCGAGGUGGAGCUAAUCCCAUAAAACUAUUCUCAGUUCGGAUUGUAGGCUGCAACUCGCCUACAUGAAGCCGGAAUCACUAGUAAUCGC